GAUGAACGCUGGCGGCGUGCCUAAUACAUGCAAGUCGAGCGAACGGACGAGUAGCUUGCUUCUCUGUUGUUAGCGGCGGACGGGUGAGUAACACGUGGAUAACCUACCUCUCAUACUGGGAUAACUUCGGGAAACCGGCGCUAAUACCGGAUGAUAUUUUGAACCGCAUGGUUCAAAAGUGAAAGACGGUCUUGCUGUCACUUAUAGAUGGAUACGCUCUGCAUUAGCUAGUUGGUAAGGUAACGGCUUACCAAGGGACCGAUGCAUAGCCGACGUGAUAGGCUGAUAGCCCGCCCUGGAACGUGGACGGGCUCCAUGGGCCUACGGGAGGGAGCAGUAGGCAAUGUGCGGCAAUAGUCGGGAGCCUUACGGAACGACGCCGCGUGAGAUAUGACGGUGUUGCGUUCGUAAUGACGGGUUAUUAGUUAAGAACAUAUGUGUAAAGAAACGAGGCGAUCGUGACGGUACCUAAUGAAGAAGCCACGGCUAACUACGUG
rnacentral:rRNA from 1 species